CACGUAGGGCGCAAGCGUUGUCCGGAAUUAUUGGGCGUAAAGAGCUCGUAGGCGGUCAGUUACGUCCGCGGUGAAAACCCGGGGCUUAACCCUGGGCUUGCAGUGGAUACGGGCUGGCUAGAGUGUGGUAGGGGAGAUCGGAAUUCCUGGUGUAGCGGUGAAAUGCGCAGAUAUCAGGAGGAACACCGGUGGCGAAGGCGGAUCUCUGGGCCAUUACUGACGCUGAGGAGCGAAAGCGUGGGGAGCGAACAGG
rnacentral:rRNA from 1 species